CCUGUCAUACUUCGAGGAUCUUCAGUGCACAACGUAAAUUCAAAGAUCAGCCAUUUUUAAAUCAGAAAUAGCAUGUUAAAGGUGUAGGGGUUAAGCAUAUGUCGACGUCACUCCGACAAGAAUCCAAGAUCGCUGUUGUUUUCAUCUUUGAGAUGUGAUCUCGACGACAUAGCGCGCGAUCUGAGGAGACGUUGAAUGCUGUGAAAUUGAACUAAAAUGAGCAGAAAAGAAAAACUGUUGAAAUCUUGAACUCAAGACGAAUCAGAGGUCGAACUGAUGAACGCUAGCACACCAACACAGGGUAGUCGUCGACCAAUGGACAGGAACGAGGAUACAGCUGCUGUGGUAUUCUUUUCUUUCUCUCUUUCAUUUUUAACUGAUAUAUUCGUUUAAUUUCACUUAUUACUAAUAACUAAUGACUCACUCAUAUCACAACAUUCAUGUAAUUAUCACUAACCCAACUAACCACUGAUAAGUUUCCAGGACUUAGCAACGUUGUUAAAAGUUUGCUGAACUAAAUCAAAAUUAUUGUAAAUCGUGAAUUAAUUGUUUAGUUGAUU
rnacentral:lncRNA from 1 species